ACGCUGGCGGCAGGCCUAACACAUGCAAGUCGAGCGGUAGAGAGAAGCUUGCUUCUCUUGGGAGCGGCGGACGGGUGAGUAAUGCCUAGGAAUCUGCCUGGUAGUGGGGGAUAACGUUCGGAAACGGACGCUAAUACCGCAUACGUCCUACGGGAGAAAGCAGGGGACCUUCGGGCCUUGCGCUAUCAGAUGAGCCUAGGUCGGAUUAGCUAGUUGGUGGGGUAAUGGCUCACCAAGGCGACGAUCCGUAACUGGUCUGAGAGGAUGAUCAGUCACACUGGAACUGAGACACGGUCCAGACUCCUACGGGAGGCAGCAGUGGGGAAUAUUGGACAAUGGGCGAAAGCCUGAUCCAGCCAUGCCGCGUGUGUGAAGAAGGUCUUCGGAUUGUAAAGCACUUUAAGUUGGGAGGAAGGGUUGUAGAUUAAUACUCUGCAAUUUUGACGUUACCGACAGAAUAAGCACCGGCUAACUCUGUGCCAGCAGCCGCGGUAAUACAGAGGGUGCAAGCGUUAAUCGGAAUUACUGGGCGUAAAGCGCGCGUAGGUGGUUUGUUAAGUUGGAUGUGAAAUCCCCGGGCUCAACCUGGGAACUGCAUUCAAAACUGACUGACUAGAGUAUGGUAGAGGGUGGUGGAAUUUCCUGUGUAGCGGUGAAAUGCGUAGAUAUAGGAAGGAACACCAGUGGCGAAGGCGACCACCUGGACUAAUACUGACACUGAGGUGCGAAAGCGUGGGGAGCAAAC
rnacentral:rRNA from 1 species